rnacentral:rRNA from 1 species
UGGAUCCAGACUUUGAUCAUGGCUCAGGACGAACGCUGGCGGCGUGCCUAACACAUGCAAGUCGAACGGAACUUUUUUAAAAGAUUUCUUCGGAAUGAAUUUGAUUAAGUUUAGUGGCGGACGGGUGAGUAACGCGUGAGUAACCUGCCUCUAAGAGGGGAAUAACAAUCUGAAAAGAAUGCUAAUACCGCAUAAUAUAUAUUUAUCGCAUGGUAGAUAUAUCAAAGAUUUAUCGCUUAGAGAUGGACUCGCGUCCGAUUAGUUAGUUGGUGAGGUAACGGCUCACCAAGACUGCGAUCGGUAGCCGGACUGAGAGGUUGAACGGCCACAUUGGGACUGAGACACGGCCCAGACUCCUACGGGAGGCAGCAGUGGGGGAUAUUGCGCAAUGGGGGAAACCCUGACGCAGCAACGCCACGUGAAGGAUGAAGGUCUUCGGAUUGUAAACUUCUUUUAUUAAGGACGAAGAAAGUGACGGUACUUAAUGAAUAAGCUCCGGCUAACUACGUGCCAGCAGCCGCGGUAAUACGUAGGGAGCAAGCGUUGUCCGGAUUUACUGGGUGUAAAGGGUGCGUAGGCGGCUUUGCAAGUCAGAUGUGAAAUCUAUGGGCUCAACCCAUAGCCUGCAUUUGAAACUGCAGAGCUUGAGUGAAGUAGAGGCAGGCGGAAUUCCCCGUGUAGCGGUGAAAUGCGUAGAGAUGGGGAGGAACACCAGUGGCGAAGGCGGCCUGCUGGGCUUUAACUGACGCUGAGGCACGAAAGCGUGGGUAGCAAACAGGAUUAGAUACCCUGGUAGUCCACGCUGUAAACGAUGAUUACUAGGUGUGGGGGGUCUGACCCCCUCCGUGCCGGAGUUAACACAAUAAGUAAUCCACCUGGGGAGUACGGCCGCAAGGUUGCAACUCAAAGGAAUUGACGGA